UAGAGCCUGCUGUGUGCGUGAUGCCGCUUUAUGUUUCGGGCCAACACUCUCUAAUUAGGGUAUCGAGUUUAGCUGAGGACGUGCGGCAAUAGCCACCACGGAAACCGGCGACAGAUACCCCCCCUGCGAGACGCAGGUUCCAAAACCCGGCGACACACGGCAUAGCGGGUCCUAC
rnacentral:other from 1 species